GGCCGUGUGGCGAAAUGGCAUCGCGUCUGACUACGAAUCAGGAGAUUGCAGGUUCGACCCCUGUCUCGGUCA
rfam:Hypholoma sublateritium FD-334 SS-4 unplaced genomic scaffold scaffold_10, whole genome shotgun sequence.